rnacentral:rRNA from 1 species
GCUUGUCUCAAAGAUUAAGCCAUGCAUGUCUAAGUAUAAACGAUUUUAUACGUGAAACUGCGAAUGGCUCAUUAUAUCAGUUAUAGUUUAUUUGAUGGUCCUUACUAUUUGGAUAACCGUAGUAAUUCUAGAGCUAAUACAUGCAUCAAGCCCUGACUUCGGAAGGGGUGUAUUUAUUAGAUGGAAACCAAUGCGGGGCAACCCGGAAUAUGGUGAUUCAUAAUAACUGUUCGGAUCGUAUGGCUUUUUGCCGACGACAGAUCAUUCAAAUUUCUGCCCUAUCAGCUUUCGACGGUACUGUAGUGGACUACCGUGGCAUUAACGGGUGACGGAGAAUUAGGGUUCGAUUCCGGAGAGGGAGCCUGAGAAAUGGCUACCACAUCCAAGGAAGGCAGCAGG